CCUACGGGAGGCAGCAGUGAGGAAUAUUGGUCAAUGGACGAGAGUCUGAACCAGCCAAGCAGCGUGAAGGAUGACUGCCCUAUGGGUUGUAAACUUCUUUUAUAUGGGAAUAAAAUGUUCCACGUGUGGGAUUUUGUAUGUACCAUAUGAAUAAGGAACGGCUAACUCCGCGCCAGCAGCCGCGGUAAUACGGAGGGUCCGAGCGUUAUCCGGAUUUAUUGGGCUUAAAGGGAGCGUAGGUGGAUUGUUAAGUCAGUUGUGAAAGUUUGCGGCUCAACCGUAGAAUUGCAGUUGAAACUGGCAGUCUUGAGUACAGGAGAGGUGGGCAGAAUUCGUGGUGUAGCGGUGAAAUGCGUAGAUAUCACGAAGAACUCCGAUUGCGAAGGCAGCUCACUGGACUGCAACUGACGCUGAGGCUCGAAAGUGUGGGUAGCAAACAGGAUUAGAUACCCGGGUAGUC
rnacentral:rRNA from 1 species